UGAGGAAUCUUGCGCAAUGGGGGAAACCCUGACGCAGCAACGCCGCGUGAGUGAGGAGGGUCUUCGGAUCGUAAAGCUCUGUCAGUUGGAAAGAAAUGUCUGAGAGUCAAUCCCUUUCAGGCUUGACGGUACCAACAGAGGAAGCACCGGCUAACUCCGUGCCAGCAGCCGCGGUAAUACGGGGGGUGCAAGCGUUGUUCGGAAUUAUUGGGCGUAAAGAGCGUGUAGGCGGCCGGAUAUGUCAGAUGUGAAAGCCCUGGGCUCAACCCAGGAAGUGCAUUUGAAACUGUCCGGCUCGAGUAGGGGAGAGGGAAGUGGAAUUCCUGGUGUAGAGGUGAAAUUCGUAGAUAUCAGGAGGAACACCGGUGGCGAAGGCGACUUCCUGGCCCUAUACUGACGCUGAGACGCGAGAGCGUGGGUAGCAAACAG
rnacentral:rRNA from 1 species